rnacentral:rRNA from 1 species
GUCCUAAGCUGAGGCCGACAGGCGUAGGCGAUGGAUAACAGGUUGAUAUUCCUGUACCACCUAUAAUCGUUUUAAUCGAUGGGGGGACGCAGUAGGAUAGGCGAAGCGUGCGAUUGGAUUGCACGUCUAAGCAGUAAGGCUGAGUAUUAGGCAAAUCCGGUACUCGUUAAGGCUGAGCUGUGAUGGGGAGAAGACAUUGUGUCUUCGAGUCGUUGAUUUCACACUGCCGAGAAAAACCUCUAGAUAGAAAAUAGGUGCCCGUACCGCAAACCGACACAGGUAGUCAAGAUGAGAAUUCUAAGGUGAGCGAGCGAACUCUCGUUAAGGAACUCGGCAAAAUGACCCCGUAACUUCGGGAGAAGGGGUGCUCUUUAGGGUUAACGCCCAGAAGAGCCGCAGUGAAUAGGCCCAAGCGACUGUUUAUCAAAAACACAGGUCUCUGCUAAACCGUAAGGUGAUGUAUAGGGGCUGACGCCUGCCCGGUGCUGGAAGGUUAAGAGGAGUGGUUAGCUUCUGCGAAGCUACGAAUCGAAGCCCCAGUAAACGGCGGCCGUAACUAUAACGGUCCUAAGGUAGCGAAAUUCCUUGUCGGGUAAGUUCCGACCCGCACGAAAGGCGUAACGAUUUGGGCACUGUCUCAACGAGAGACUCGGUGAAAUCAUAGUACCUGUGAAGAUGCAGGUUACCCGCGACAGGACGGAAAGACCCCGUGGAGCUUUACUGUAGCCUGAUAUUGAAAUUCGGCACAGCUUGUACAGGAUAGGUAGGAGCCUUUGAAACGUGAGCGCUAGCUUACGUGGAGGCGCUGGUGGGAUACUACCCUAGCUGUGUUGGCUUUCUAACCCGCACCACUUAUCGUGGUGGGAGACAGUGUCAGGCGGGCAGUUUGACUGGGGCGGUCGCCUCCUAAAAGGUAACGGAGGCGCUCAAAGGUUCCCUCAGAAUGGUUGGAAAUCAUUCAUAGAGUGUAAAGGCAUAAGGGAGCUUGACUGCGAGACCUACAAGUCGAGCAGGGUCGAAAGACGGACUUAGUGAUCCGGUGGUUCCGCAUGGAAGGGCCAUCGCUCAACGGAUAAAAGCUACCCCGGGGAUAACAGGCUUAUCUCCCCCAAGAGUUCACAUCGACGGGGAGGUUUGGCACCUCGAUGUCGGCUCAUCGCAUCCUGGGGCUGUAGUCGGUCCCAAGGGUUGGGCUGUUCGCCCAUUAAAGCGGUACGCGAGCUGGGUUCAGAACGUCGUGAGACAGUUCGGUCCCUAUCCGUCGUGGGCGUAGGAAAUUUGAGAGGAGCUGUCCUUAGUACGAGAGGACCGGGAUGGACAUACCUCUGGUGUACCAGUUGUCGUGCCAACGGCAUAGCUGGGUAGCUAUGUGUGGACGGGAUAAGUGCUGAAAGCAUCUAAGCAUGAAGCCCCCCUCAAGAUGAGAUUUCCCAACUUCGGUUAUAAGAUCCCUCAAAGAUGAUGAGGUUAAUAGGUUCGAGGUGGAAGCAUGGUGACAUGUGGAGCUGACGAAUACUAAUCGAUCGAAGACUUAAUCAA